rnacentral:lncRNA from 1 species
AUUAUUACACCAUAUCACAGACUCCGAUAACAUGUACAUGUAGGGCCAUGCAUCUCAGAUUUAACAUUGUUAAAUGAUGCCUUUAAAAUUCCAUAAGUGAUCAAGUUGCUCGACUUGUCUUUAACAUACCUGAAUUUACAUAUAAAUUUCACAUUCACAUUGAUACAGUUGCAGUACUAAAUUUUAGUUGAAACUAUGUCAUUUCUCUCCUAUUAAGGAAAACAAUAGUUUUUAUUUGUUUUAUAUUGUUCAGAAUAAGUUAGUUUUAAAAUGUUAUAAUUUCUUGUUCACAAAAUGCUUGUGGCAUACAUAUAUGUAUGUAGCUCUGAAGCCUGCCUUGAAUAUUUAAACAUUGUAAUAAUGAAAAAUGCCUUGUGAAUAUCGAUAAAGAAUUGUUUAUCUUUAUAUUUUCUGUUUUAUAUUCAUAGCUUACUUUUAAGAUCAGGAGGUGUUGCAUCGUUUUUAGCAAUUCAUUUUCUUUUAGUACAUUCAUAUAUAUUUAUUCUUUAUGUAUGUAUCCUAUAUUUAACAGUAUGCCUAUAGUUAUUUGUUUUUGUACAUGAUCAUAGUACUACAAAAAUAUAUAGAAUUACAAUAUACUGUACAUGUAGACAUUGUCAAAUGAUAUAACAAGAAAUGAUUUGUAUGCAUGUCUGUGCUUUUAUUUUUAAAUGCUUUUUGUGAAUGAUAUCUGAAAAUUCAGAUUUAUUUUAGCUCCUAAAGUGUAUUCCAGGGCAUUGAAUAUUUGAAAUAUUUGUCAAUAUUCAUAGAAAUGUGAUUGAUAUUGAAAUGGUAUAAGGUGUCAUUAAGUCCUUGUUCAUGGCAAAUCUUAUUUUAGGAUGUAUUUCAUGAAUGAUAUUUGGAAUGUAAUAUUCCAACACCACAUCUUAAGAUAAAUCUAGCAGUUUCCUUUUAAGAAACAUGCUAAACCACACUCUACAAAAUCUCAGAAAUUCAUAGUUUUUUGAUCCUUCCAUCCCCUAUGAUAUUUGGUUGCUGUACUAAAAUACUCUAUGAAAAUUUCAGUAUAACAAUAUGUCUAGGAAGUCCUGCAUAUAUAUAUGGACUGCAUAUAUAUGGACUGCAUAUAAUCAUCCAUAUUUAUGUGGACUUACCUUUAUGAUACAUGAUAUGUUCUCUUUGGUUGAAACCAAGCAUGAUAUCUGAAGUUUGGUCACUUUAUCAGUGAUAUUUAUAACAAUUGAAAGCACAACCAUAAUGUAUUCAAGCUAAUUAUUGUACUUACCAUCUUAUGAGUGCAUUUUCCUUUAUGCAAAAACCCAACAUUAUGACCCAGGACAGAAAUACAUCAUGCUAUUCCUAAUUAAUUUCUAAAGGCAUUUUACAAAAUGAUAAUACCAUAAUAAUCGUCAUGAAAUUGUGUUUCGUGUACGGUGCUUUGAAUGGUAGGUUCUGUGGUGCAAGCAUUUUAACUAUGAAAUUGCCAUUGGCUUGACUUGAUAUAGCUUUCAUUAAUGAAUUUUAUUUUACAUACUUUGUAACACAACACCAAUACUGUUGUCCUGAAUCAAACUUGCAAAAUGAUGAAGAACAUUAAUUUUUACCUCCUUAAUUUGGACUGGAAUUUAGAGUUGGACUUUAAUUUUUCAAUUUUGUUUUAUUACACAGUAAAUCGAGGGUCAACAUAACUUGUAUGCUUCAUAGAUGACAUUACCUGUAAACUUAUCUAGGACUAUGUACAUUUGGACAUGUAUGUGAAGGGUAUUAUUAAACAUAAUUCAGGGCUUACAUGCAGAUACCGGUAUGUAAUAUUUUUACAUUGUUAGAAUAUGAAUGUUUUAUAUAACUAUAAUGGUUACUGCUUUUAGAUAUAUUACUUUGACAAUCAGGGAUUUAAAAAAGUGCCUUGAUAUUUUUCGUGCAUCACAUGUAUUGGUACAAUGAAGGUGCUUUACUAUGUGUGUCAUUCUUUUUUGCAUUUUCUUAAUACAGUCAACCACUUAUAAUCAUUCAUAUCCCUUGUAAGUUUGAUGUCCUGUUGUUUUUUCCGUAACUCCAGAAUGACUGGUUGAAUUAGGGACUUUUUUGAAUACUUUUAAAUGUAAGAUAUAUGUCACAUUUUUAAGAAACGUAAAUCAGGACAAUACAAAUUUUCACAUACUUAAAGAUUUAAAAACUUGGUAAGGGUAUGAAUAAUUUAGUUAACUUUAAAUUCAGUUAGUGUGUAUCUGUAUUAAAUGAUUUGAAAAAUGCCAUUUAGAUCUUACUUUAUGGCAUAAUAUUUUGCCUUUAGAAGUCUAUAGAAAAUGCACUUUAUAUAUUUACUUAUGCUACGGUCACAAAGGUUCGUACGAACGAUAAUUUCGUACGAAUCUCCGUUUUUCCAUUGUGUUCCCGAAUUUCCAUUGUCUGAAAAUCGUUCGUACGGCAUUCGUACGGCGUUCGUAGCCGUUCGUAAUGGCAUUUGUGACCGAGGCUUUACUUUACCUACAGUGUUCAAGAGCUGUAAUCCAUUGAGUGGGGCGAAGCCUGUUCAUCGAUCAAGUGGUAGUCAUUUGAAUCAAUCUUUCAAUUAUUAGGAGUUCUGUGGCAAUUCAAUCCACUAUUUUAAUCUCAUUCAGGCCAUAAUUAAAAAGAUGUUAGUUUUUUCUAUAAUUUUUUCCAGGAAGAUUUCUUGUCUGUUUUAAAGGAGUUUACAUAUGGAGCUGUAACCACCACUUCUGAUCGCUUAAUUUUAUUUUAAAAAAAACACACAAGUAUAGAUGCUUAGGUUUCAUGUUGUUUGACUCAGAUUUGAAAAACAGGAUAUGACAUGAACCUUCUUUUUUUAAAAUAAUUAUUAUUCUUUGGGUUCUUUUGAUUCAUAUGGACAUCCAAUGUUAUAUAGCUUAAUAUGAUGUAGGUGUCUCAAACCUCAGUUUCAUUAAUAAUACAGUACUACAGUAUAUUGUUUUAGUGAUUGAAACUCUGUACUGUUUUAUAAUACUCUUACUUGUUAAAGUACUCUUGAAUGAAUAUGCACUAGUUAGAAAAUGAAAGAUAGUGAAUUAUUAUUAAGCUAUCAGUUUUAAAAUAUUUAAAAACCAAUUUGGAAACUUUUAUGCAAGAACAAUACUGUAGUAUUUACUCCUUUAAAAGAGAAAUGGACCUUUUUCGUACUUCUUUGUCUUCUUUAAGUGAUAUUUGUAAACACUUAUGGGGAAAAUGCAAAAAAUUGUUGACGGAUUUCAUUUCUUGAGGAAAAACAUGUCGUUCACCUAGUAUUGCUAUUUAUCCAAGACAAAAGAUAAUUUCCCACCCUCCCCCCCCCCCCCUCUCAUAAAUGUGAUUACCGGUAUGUAAUACGGUACAUGUAGCUUUGAUGGCAUAAAUUACACCUGCAUACUUGCUGAUAUCUUUAAUCAUACAUUAUCUAGAAAGUGCAGAAAUAUUUUGUGUGAACAUGCUUAUCUUAUUAAUAUUAAAGAAGUCGCCUUGUUGAUGAUCUAGAAAUAAUGAGUUUAUUACAAUUAUGGCUCAUGAAAUACCAUGAAUUCCUAGAUUACGUAUCUUAUCAAUUGUAUUAAGAAAAAAUAUAUUUAUGUUAUAUUCAAAUACCAGGUCAUUUUAUACCAUCCUCUUGUUUCACAAUAGGUAUACAAUAAUACAUUUUUUCUACUGCUGAAUUAUUAAAUCUGUUUUGGCACUAAAACUGUA